rnacentral:sRNA from 1 species
AUAUAGGAGGUGGUUUGCUUUUGUUGGGCAGUUUAUCACCUUCAUGACCACCACAACACCUUUGCUGUUGGCUCCACACCCACAGUCAAUUUUAACAGGAGUUUCAGUGAAUCAGUUAGUUGUAACCAAAGGAGUUGCCGGCCUUCAGUUUAUUGGAUUCGGUGCUGUGUGUCUGCCUAUUCCUCUUGAUGGGGAAACUGGAGCAGUUCCCUACAGUCCAGCCAUUUCAGGUGCCCAAUUAUGUCUCCUCUACCUGUGAUGUUCAGAGAUGAGAAGAACCACUUUUACUUUUUCACUGUAAAUUUUUAUUUAAUGUCAGCCUUGCUUGCUGAACUAUAAACUCUGUGAGGAGGUCUGUAGUGCUCACCAUUGUUUCUUUAGAGCUGAAUACGUAGCCUGACACACAGUAGGCUUUCAAUAAAAAUUUAAUUUACCAGAAGUGGAAAAUGAGUUUUAUGAAGAAAAUUUCAGAAAACUGAGUUCAUUUUUCAACACAAGAGAUGACCAAGGGGUAAUAUGUUCCUUCAGGUUCAUGAACAGCCUGCAUGAAUAUGCCAAGUAGUUGUUUUGUAACUGUGGAAGAUUGGCUAAGAGGAGAUGGAUGGAAAGUAAAGUCAGAAAGACCUUAUUGAUUUAGGCCAGUGGGAGAAGUGUUGGAGUAUCUGCUCUGGAGAAAAUGCUCUUUUCCGGCUAGUUUUGUUAAUUAUGUUUCUGAAAAGGGGGGCUAGAUUGGAUGGUCUUUACCAGGUUUCUUCCCCUUCUGAUUCAGGGACUUCAGGAGGUUUGUGGUAACCUGAGAAAGUAGCCUGAGGUAUUAUGGUGCUGGAGUUCUCCAUAGGGUGCUUAGCAGACCAACUUUAUCUCCCCAUACAUUGCGUUUUUCCAUAUGUGAGCUGAGAAUAAGCUGGUUGCCUUUCAGUGAUCUGAAAUUAUAGAUGCAUUUCUUGGAAGCUUUAUUUUUUUUAAUGGCUAAAAUUGAGUAGUAUCGCUAUUGCUGUCUGUAGACUACCACUUGCUAUUCCUGUUUAGAGUUUACUAGGCUUGGUAAGUUGGAAGGGUAACAGGAGCACGUUUGUGAUUUAAAAAACGACAACAACAACAACAACAACCAGUUAACGUAAUUGACAGAAGAGAAGUUCCAGGCAGAACAGUGGCUCUUUCGUUUUUCUUCUACACAUGGCUUUUUGCCAUCAGCAUCAGUGAAGACUUGCGGAAGGAGCUAAUGCUGCUUAUUUGCAGUUGUUGAACCUGUUUGCCUAUGGGACAUACCCAGAUUACAUAGCCAACAAGGAGAGCCUGCCAGAACUGAGCACAGCUCAGCAGAACAAGCUGAAGCAUCUUACCAUCGUGAGCUUGGCAUCAAGAAUGAAGUGUAUCCCCUACUCCGUGUUGCUGAAAGACCUGGAGAUGCGGAAUCUCCGGGAACUAGAAGACCUUAUCAUUGAGGCUGUCUACACUGACAUCAUCCAGGGCAAGCUGGACCAGCGAAACCAGCUGCUGGAAGUGGAUUUCUGCAUUGGCCGUGACAUCCGAAAGAAGGAUAUCAAUAAUAUUGUCAAGACCCUGCAUGAAUGGUGUGAUGGCUGUGAAGCAGUUCUACUGGGCAUUGAGCAGCAAGUUCUGAGAGCCAACCAGUACAAAGAGAACCACAACCGAACUCAGCAGCAGGUAGAAGCAGAGAUUGCUUGUUUUCAGAGGGAAAAACGUGAUGUCCCCCUCCUGAAUCUUAUAACAACAGCUUUCUUCUGGUUACCAACAUCAAGAAGACACUCAAAGCCACCGCAUCCUCCUCGGCUCAGGAGAUGGAGCAGCAGCUGGCUGAACGGGAGUGUCCCCCUCACGCUGAGCAGAGGCAGCCCACCAAGAAGAUGUCCAAAGUGAAAGGUCUGGUCUCCAGCCGCCACUAGGGCCGGCUGGGGCAGCUGGCACUCACCAGGCCUGGGUCAGGUGGGGAGGGGACACCAAGGGCCCAUUUCCUCCCCUCUCUACCUGCAGUGAGUUCCAGACCUGCCCGUCCCCUCACCAGCGCCUCCCCACCCUGUUGGUACUGUUCCAGAAAAACUGUUACUCCCCCUCACCCACUCCCUCCUUCCCCAGUUGUUCCCUUCAGACUCAGGGGCUCCACCAAUGCCAUCCCAAAACAGGGUCAGACACUGCCCAGCUUCCCUCCAGGAGGUUCUUGUCUCUGUGUAAGGGCUUGUCUCCCUCCCAGUUUUUCUUUUGCUCCACGUCAUUUUGUCAGGCUGGUUAUAAGCCGGAGGCAGCUUUAACCAGCCCCCAGGGAUGAUUGUGAAGGAGGCCCCUCCCCUUGUGAGGAGGGGACACUCCUCUCCAGCCCCUGGUACCACAGUCCUCAAGAUGGUGCAGCGAUUUCUAGCCAGGCGUCAAGAUGCGCUGCUUUCCCUCUCCUGCCUCAUCCCUUGUUGGCAGCUCCAGUUCAGGCCGUGGAGGGACGUGAUGCUGGGCUGUGUUUACUAAACCCACGGGUUUUCAGCCUCUUAAGCCCAGCUCUGAUCUCCAAUUAGUUGAGAGCGCUGGGUUGACUAACCUCUGGUAUCUGAGCACAGACAGAGGGUGCUGUGGGUCUGCUGGGUGGCAGAAAUGGUUCCUUCCGGCUUGGCGUUUUCUCUCCUGGCCACUCUUCCUGCUGCCUCUGACUACUCAGCCUUGUUUUCGGUGUGUAGGCCCCAGCUGCCCACUGGAACUGCCGGCUAAUGCUUGCUCUCCCAAGAUCUUUAACUCCUCCUGGCUGCACCUGGGUAGGGAUGGUGGCAUCGAUGCCCCUCUGUCUGCUGAAGGACCUGUUGCUGCUUCUGUCUUUUCACCCCUCCUUGGCUGAUGACCCAGAGCCCUCUGAUGAUGGCAUUCUCCUGGCAAGAGAAAAAGACUUAACUAGACUUCUGAACUUGAACAGUUUCAGGUUAUAUUUUAAUUUUUUUUUUUUUGUACAGGUUCUGAUUCUAAUACAUUUCAACAUGCUUUUGUCC